UACGGAGGGGGCUAGCGUUGUUCGGAAUUACUGGGCGUAAAGCGCACGUAGGCGGCUUUGUAAGUUAGAGGUGAAAUCCCGGGGCUCAACUCCGGAAUUGCCUUUAAAACUGCAUCUCUAGAAUUGUGGAGAGGUAAGUGGAAUUCCGAGUGUAGAGGUGAAAUUCGUAGAUAUUCGGAAGAACACCAGUGGCGAAGGCGACUUACUGGACACAUACUGACGCUGAGGUGCGAAAGCGUGGGGAGCAAACAGG
rnacentral:rRNA from 1 species